AACCUAGCACACCUGCGGUGUGUACCUGCGGAAGGAUCAUUACCGAGUUUACAACUCCCAAACCCCUGUGAACAUACCACUUGUUGCCUCGGCGGAUCAGCCCGCUCCCGGUAAAACGGGACGGCCCGCCAGAGGACCCCUAAACUCUGUUUCUAUAUGUAACUUCUGAGUAAAACCAUAAAUAAAUCAAAACUUUUAACAACGGAUCU
rnacentral:misc_RNA from 1 species